AUUGAACGCUGGCGGCAUGCCUUACACAUGCAAGUCGAACGGUGACAGGUCUUCGGAUGCUGACGAGUGGCGAACGGGUGAGUAAUACAUCGGAACGUGCCCGAUCGUGGGGGAUAACGAAGCGAAAGCUUUGCUAAUACCGCAUACGAUCUACGGAUGAAAUCGGGGGAUCUUCGGACCUCGCGCGGACGGAGCGGCCGAUGGCAGAUUAGGUAGUUGGUGGGAUAAAAGCUUACCAAGCCGACGAUCUGUAGCUGGUCUGAGAGGAUGAUCAGCCACACUGGGACUGAGACACGGCCCAGACUCCUACGGGAGGCAGCAGUGGGGAAUUUUGGACAAUGGGCGCAAGCCUGAUCCAGCCAUGCCGCGUGCAGGAUGAAGGCCUUCGGGUUGUAAACUGCUUUUGUACGGAACGAAAAGGUGCCUUCUAAUAAAGGGCGCUCAUGACGGUACCGUAAGAAUAAGCACCGGCUAACUACGUG
rnacentral:rRNA from 1 species